GAUGAACGCUGGCGGCGUGCCUAAUACAUGCAAGUCGAGCGAACAGAUAAGGAGCUUGCUCCUUUGACGUUAGCGGCGGACGGGUGAGUUACACGUGGAUAACCUACCUAUAAGACUGGGAUAACUUCGGGAAACCGGAGCUAAUACCGGAUAACAUAUUGAACCGCAUGGUUCAAUAGUGAAAGGCGGCUUUGCUGUCACUUAUAGAUGGAUCCGCGCCGUAUUAGCUAGUUGGUAAGGUAACGGCUUACCAAGGCAACGAUACGUAGCCGACCUGAGAGGGUGAUCGGCCACACUGGAACUGAGACACGGUCCAGACUCCUACGGGAGGCAGCAGUAGGGAAUCUUCCGCAAUGGGCGAAAGCCUGACGGAGCAACGCCGCGUGAGUGAUGAAGGUCUUCGGAUCGUAAAACUCUGUUAGCAGGGAAGAACAAAUGUGUAAGUAACUGUGCACAUCUUGACGGUACCUGAUCAGAAAGCCACGGCUAACUACGUG
rnacentral:rRNA from 1 species